CCAAAUCGCUCCUCUUAAGGCUCUCAAUCUCCGCCCUCAUCGGUCCUUUCGCGCCUUCUUCUCUCACCGGUGGUAGAAUCCGCGUCGGUUACGGUCAGAUCUUGGAGCAAGAGCAGAUAAACGAAGAUCUAUCGAUGGACAACGAGCGCGAAUCGAGGAGGAACAAACGAUCUAAUAAAAUGGAGAGAAUCAGUUUUAAGUUUGAACGGAACAAUACAAAAGGUAUAUACUAUAAUGGGUUUGGUGAGAGGGAAAAGGGUGGGAUCUUGGCAUGAAAUUGGUUUAGGUUCAUAGUCGUUUCCAGUUUAUGAUUUCUAUUCCUAGUAUAAUAUUAUUGGUAGAUACCUAUCCUCUAGGCAGAAGAACUACAAUAGAAUAGAACCUCCAUAAGCAUUGUGGUAGAAUCUCGGCAACCGUAUUUUGGCAAGAAUACCCCUUGCAUUCGAUUACAUCUUAUUUUGGUAACCUUCCUUUGAGAUUUGCCCAAAAAGUACAUAUGGGAUUAAAUUCAUCUUAAAGUUAACUCAUGUACACAAAGUUUAUCUCAAAGUGUUUACACAACUCCCUUUUAUGUCAUAGAGUUUCUGAAUUUGAAUCUAUUACUGAGACAUGAUACAUUUAAGGCAGGGAUAUCUGACUGGAUUAGGGAAACUAUGAUGAGAGGAAGAAGAGUUUUGUUGUUUAUGCUUGAGUUUUCAAGAGUUUAUUCGAGGAAAGUGUCUUUACAGACAUACAAAAAAAAACCUAUCAAUAUGCCACAGGAAGUAACAUUGAUUUAUUUAUUUGGGUAACUUUAACUUGAUAAGCACCAACAUCGUUUGAGUAACUAUAAUUUUUUCCUAGAACAUUUUUGUAUAUCAAAAACAUUACUGAAAUUAAUAAAUUUACUAGUAAGAACCUUCUAAUAAUUUAGAUGUUAUCAUGUGUUAUUUAGAUUGUGUUGGUUCACCUACCAAGUUUCCUUACCAAAUAAAAACUUUCCCAUGUUAAUUCUUUUAUUUGCAUGUAAGUUUAUGGUUCUAAUGGUCGAACAGUCAAAUACUAUAUUUUGAAUAUUAGAAUUGACACUCGGUAGAUAUUUUUUCUAUAUGAUUUACUUUUGGAACGAGAGGAGGACACUGAGGUAUGCUACAAUAACACCUAUCUUUUAUCAUUGGACCAUAUGUUGCAGACACUGAAUCAUGCUGAUAUAGAGAUUUUGUGUAGUUAGUUACUCGCAAUCACCGGUUCAACUAUAAAUUUCUAGGCAUACCUCCUCAUGGUUACAAUAUCAUUUGAGUGAAGAAGUUAUGACCUGAAGCAAAGCUACCAUAAAGUUUGAUCCCGACAAAAAAAUAGAAUUAUGGUUGGGUUCUUCUCCUAAGAUUAUAUGUUGCUUCAUUGCUCUUCCAAGCACACUUAUUUAUCAAUUAUUGAAUGAUAAACAACUGAAGACAAAAUUUUAAAGAUCUUCAGCAUUUGGAUUCAUUAAAGAAAAGAAUGGCUUCCAUAAAUUAUGAAUUUUUUGAUAUUAUUGGUGAACUCAUUCUUAUGAAGGAAGAAUCAAAAGAAGACGAAGAGCAUGUGAGGGGUUUGCUUGAAACUUUAAUCAAAUGCCUAGAUGAAAACAAGAUUGUUUUGCCCAUCCAACUACGUGAAGGAAUCCUACAUUUAAAUAUAACAAAAUUACUUGACUAUCAAAUAAAGAUCUUAGAUGGUUGGAUUGAAAAGAAAAAUAAGCUUAUUGAAGCAAUUGAGGCUGUAAUUGAGGCUUCCUCGAUGGAGGAAUGCUCAUGUGAAAAGAAAAAUAAGCUUAUUGAAGCGAUGGAGGCUUGCUCGUUGGAGGAUUGAUCGUAUAGCUCAAUGGCAAAAGUCUUAACCAAUCAGAAACCCAAUUAUUAAUAUAUGAACAUCAUUCCUAUGUACCACAUAAUAUAUGAUCAAAUUGUCCUUUGUUUCUUCAUCUAAAGCUUUUAUGGAAUAAUAAAUGAAAUGCAAUUAUGUUGUUUAUGAAUCUAUAUAUAUAUAUAUAUUUUUUUUUCAUCAACUUAUACAAACUCGUACAAACUCUGUAAACGAAACCGGAGGAUCUGCAUCCAUGUGGACGACAAAAGACGAUUGCUUCCUAACACUGCGUACUAGUCUAUCGCCUUUGAAUUUUGCGUACUUGGUACAUAGAUGAUCCAUGAUCGGGUGAAACUCUCUUUCAGGAUCUUGACAUCUUCUAAAUAAUUUGCAAAAGCUGUCCAUUAUUCUGGUUCCGAAACCAUCUUCACCAAUUAUGAAAAAUCCGUUGCAAACGUAACCUGAAAUUAACAUAGAUUCCUCAUCCAUUCCAUUGCCAGAGUAGCGCUUCCAUCUCUGCAUGAAGGGGAGAGAUACUAGCUCUAACAUUUCUUGCCCCCAAUAAACCUUCAAAUCCUUCUAAUGUACUGAACCAACCUUGUCCUGAAAAGGUAUCACCCUCUUUCCAUGAGCCAUCCGAAAAACACCAUCUUCCUGGAAAUGACGACAGGGUCGUAUCUACUAUUUGUGGUAUUGUCCUCUGUUCAUUCAAUAUUUGUGCCUUAGCCCACAAUGUUGAUUAUGUUUCUGCCAAUUUAAGCGUAUUCAAAGGUUCCACAUCCAGAUUACUGAAAACUUUAUUAUUCUUGGCUUUCCUGAUAUACCAUAGUAUAUAUGCAAACUGAUGAUCUUCUAUCUUCGGGAAAACUCUCUAGUACAAAUGAUCCAUAUUUGUGAAAAGAGAACUUGGUGUAAAAAUAGCUGGAUUUGAUGGUAUCUUUGAAAGAGGCCAAACCUGGAUUGUUGGAGGACAUUCAAAAACCACAUGGUUUAUGGAUUCCUCUUGGGCUCCACAUCUUCCACAACAAAUAUCCCCUUGUAUCCUUCUAGCUUGUAAAUUCUUCUUUACAACUAUACAUCCUGUCACUAAUUGCCAUAGGAAAUGUUUUAAUUUUGGUGGGCAUCGUAUUUUCCAGCAGAACGCCUUCAGAACAUCAACUGUGGGGCCAAUCAGUAAUGAUGGCAUUACCAAUAGAAAUGUUAUUGAACAACCAAAAGUAAGUGAAAUAUAUACUUUGUAAAAAAUUGUAAUACUCAAAUGUGCAAGAAUGAUUUAAAACUAUAGAAAAUACAAUACCUAAUUUAUCUAAAUCAAGGAUAUUGGCAUUAAACUAACUUAUUGUAUGUGGUUUCCCCAGAUCUAGCGCCGAAUUAGUUAAUCAAAUAUUAUAUGGCUCUUUCAAAAAUGACUUAAAAUUAAUGGUCAAACACAAAACUAACCUCUUUUGAAUUUUUGUUUUGCCUUAUUCACCGUUAAAGUUUAAAUAAUCACAAAAUGCCAUUACUUAUUAUUUUAUUUUUUUCAAAAUAAGUUAAGUUUUACUCAAAUAUCCUCAUUUUCAUCACUUAUUACAAAAAAAAAAAAUCAUUGUUUUUAAUAUCAUAAGCAUCAGUAACAACGUUUUUAUAACACAACAACCAUUAACAACUAAAAUCAAGCUUUAAAUGCACUAAAAAUUAAUUUAUACAUAUUUUUAUCUCAUUUCUUACAGACAAAUUAUUUAUCUUGAAUAUAUCUCUUAUUUCAUCCCAAAAACUCAAACUCAAAAUAUUGAAUGGUCUGCACAUUUGACGGAUGACUGGUCUAUCUGCCUGUGACAAUUCAAGAAAUUUUUUUUUGGUUAUCCAUAAUUUCAGUUACUUUUAGCAUCCAAUUUUAUCAAGAAUAAAUUAGACAUAUAUCUGUUAAUUUCAGUCAUUUAUAGGGCUACCUUUAUUUUUCAUCAACCUUAUUGGUUUUGGAUAUUUGGGGACACGAAUAUGUACCUUUGGAGAAGAUUUAUGAACCCUUGUUUUUUAUUUCUAAAUAUAUUAUGAAUUAUUCAUCAUCUUUCUGCGGACCCUGGCAAGUCAUCUUCGUUGACGACGUACAAGAAUUUCUUUCGGUCGGGUUGGGGUCCGCUGGAAUGCUGGCGUUCAAAGAAGAUCUUGGAGGAAGAGCAGAUCAACGAAGAUCUCUCAACGGACAAUGAGUGUGGAUUGAGGAGGAACAGACUAUCAAAAAAAUGGUGCCAAUUAGCUAGAGAGAGAAUCCGUUGAGGUAAAUAAACAUGAAGACGCAAUAUGCCUUUUGUUCGUACCGAGUUCACUCUAAACGAGUAAAUAACGACGGAACUCGUCAGUGUGUCAGUUCAUAGGCGUUUUAUUAAUAGAUCGGAAGAUAGAGUGAUUACAAAUAAGGAAAGUGAUCAGAAAACAAGCCGAAGAUUGGGGAGCUUUGGCCGGGAAAGGUAGAAGUUGGUAAGAAGAAAGAGUGAAACCCUAAUUCUAGCCGCCCAAAUAUGUGUGUGUAUUCUUGGAUCCCUUUCUAGAUUCUCCUUCCUCUCCUUAAAUAGUCGGAACCGCAGCUACUUUCGGUUGCCCUAACCUAACGGGCCUUCGGUAGUUGUCCUUCGUAAGUGGGUCGACAGUUGGGCUGGGCAACCUUGGCUUGGGCUGAGCAGCCGCCUUCUCAGAUUGAUUGGCCGAAUAUCUAUAUUUCUCGGGCCUUGUUGGUGAGUGUAACUCGGUCGCUACACCUUUUUUUUCAUUGUAGUUGUUAGAUUGUUUCUAUGUAAUUGUGGUGAUCUCUCCAUUGAGUGUGAGUAGCUUGGAGGAUUAGAUUCGUUAAAAUGGAGAGAUGGGAGUUGAUGAAAUGUAAGUUGCAUAGAGUCAUAACAUCAUGGCUCGUGUUCUUGAUGCUUAAAAGAUUUCGUAUUUUAUCCUGAGGAAUUUGUUUACCAUAUUUUGCAUCCAUCAUGUAUUCAUGUCAAACACAACCCCAUCUGUUAGAUUCUGGUCAAAUUUUAUGCUGAUGUAAUGCUUUGUAGUUUGAGCGGAACAAUACAAAAGGUAUAUACUAUACUGGGUUUGGUGAAAGGGAAAAGGGUGGGAUCUUGGCAUGAAAUUGGUUUAGGUUCAUAGUUGUUUCCAGUUUAUAAUUUCUAUUCCUAGUAUAAUAUUAUUGGUAGAUAUCUAUCCUCUAGGCUGAAGAACUACAAUAGAAUAGAACCUCCAUAAGCAUUGUGGUAGAAUCUCGGCAUCCGUAUUUGGGAAAGAAUACCCCUUGCAUUAAUUGGCAUCUUAUGUUGGUAACCUUCCUUUGAGAUUUGCCCAAAAAGCACAUAUGGGAUUAAAUUCAUCUUAAAGUUAACUCAUGUACACAAAUUUUAUCUCAAUGUGUUUGCACUACUCCCUUUUAUGUCAUAGAGUUUCUGAAUUUGAAUCUAUUACUGAGACAUGAUACACUUAAUUCAGGGAUAUCUGAUCGGAUUAGGGCAAAUAUGAUGAGAGGAAGAAGAGUUUUGUUGUUUGUGCUUGAGUUUUCAAGAGUUUAUGCGGGGAAAGUGUCUUUACAGACAUACAAAAAAAAAAACCUAUCAAUAUGCCACAGGAAGUAACAUUGAUUUAUUUAUUUGGGUAACUAUAACUUGAUAAGCACCAACAUUCUUUGGGUAACUAUAAUUUAGUCCUAGAACAUUUUUGUAUAUCAAAAACAUUACUGAAAUUAAUAAAUUUACUAGUAAGAACCUACUAAUAAUUUGGAUGUUACCAUGUGUUAUUUAGAUUGUGUUGGUUCACCUACCAAGUUUCCUUACCAAAUAAAAACUUUCUCAUGUUAAUUCUUUUAUUUGCAUAAAAGUUAUUGGUUCCAAUGGUCGAACAGUCAAAUACUAUAUUUUAAAUAUUAUAAUUGACAGUCGGUAGAUGUUUUUUCUAUAUGAUUUACUUUAGGUUCAACGUAACUAUGUUUACUAGUCUUUGUUCAUCAUAUUCUCUCUAAUAGUCUCUUAUCAGUCAAUUCUCCGCGCUCUCAGUGUAUGUCGCUCCUCAAUGGCACCGGAGAGGGUCUCCUUUCUUGUUUUACUUUGUUUUUAUUUAGCUCAUGUGUUUUCCAUGGAGGUUUUCGGAGUUUAGACAUUAUUGAUGGUCUUGCUUUUAUGGAUCUGGUGGCCACUCAUGAUCUCCAGAGGCAAUUAUUUUUAGGAUCCAAAACCUGCUAAGGGGAAGAAACAUGAGUUUCUACAAAUUGUCAAUGGCUGGUCAAAGGUGUGUUGGUUAGUCAUAUCUUUCGUUUUGUUUCCAUCCUGCCUUGAUACUAUUAUACAAAAAUUCACCCACAUUGGUAGUCGGAAGGGAUUCUAAGUAAUAUAUAAGACAUACAGACUAAUCUAUUUAUCACAAAUUGGUUUUAGGUCGAAAGUACAUCUAGGUUAACAAUAUUAGAGACUAAGUCUCCCACAUCGGUCGUUGGUAGGGAUCCUUAGCAAUGUAUAAGAUAUAGAUGGGUCAAUCCACUUAUCACCAAUUGGUUUUAUAUUGGAAGCUCAUUUAGUUUAACAUGGUAUCAUACCCUGAUCCACACAAUCUAACUUGAUCCUCAUCGAUCCAACCCAAAAUUGUCCAUUGAUCAUUUUCUGAAUAUUCCGAGAUCGACGCUUAAAAAGUCAUCAUCUGAUUGGGCGUAUUAGAGACUAGGUCUCCCAUAUCGGUAGUUGAAAGGGAUCUUAAAUAAUAUUUAAGAUUGAUGGGCUAAUCCACAUAUUACCAAUUUGUUUUAGGUUGAAAGUCCAUCUAACUUAACAUGGUAUCAAAACCCGAUCCAAGCAAUUAAACCCGAUCCAGAUCGAUCUGGCCCAAAGUUGGCCCAUCAACUUUUUUUUGAACAUUUCGAGAUUGACGCUCAAAAAUCCAUCAUCACGAGUGGGUGUAUUAGAGACUAAGUCUCACAUAUCAGUAGUUGGAAGGGAUACUUAGUAAGAAAUAAUACAAAUAAGCUAAUCCACUUAUCAUUAAUUGGUUUUAGGUUGAAAGCUCAUCUAGCUUAACAAAUACAUGGCUUCGUCGUGAGCUUUUAGCUUUAUCUUGCAUUAUUUUUAUGGUUUUGCUUAUUUUCGCAUUUCUUGUUAGAGCCUUUUGACAGGUUCACUGAGAUGAUGCUAGUCUUCGUUCAUGUGUUCUAUCCAGGUUGUGCUCUUAUAUGUUUCCUCGUCUCAGGCCUCCCAUGUGCUUUUCUAAGCGGGGCGAGAUUUUUUGGUGGUCUGGUUGGUGUUGUGCCGCUCCGCCUCCUCUUGCUAAGUCUAGAUUUUUCUCGUGUGUGUUUUCGCUUGAAACUUGUGGAGUAUAGUUAUCUUCUUUGUGGCUCCAUAGUUGGUUUAUUCCUCCCUUUAUUGGCCUAUUUUGGUUUUAUUUUUGUGUUAUUCAAGCUUGAUCGUUGUUUUGUGUUACUUUGGUGCGGUUCUUAGAAUUGUUCUGCCACCACCAUUAUUAAGUUAUCAGAUAGUUUUUAUAGUAUUGUUGUAGGUUAGAUGAAUUGCACUUGUGGUUUCGAUGUGUUCUUUGAUUUCCUUGGCCCAAGAAUUAAACAAGAGAUUCAUCUUAAAUCAAGUUUGCGCUGAUAUCAGAAUAUGAAGGAGAUGAGAGACAAUGAGCAUAUGUCUAUGGUGUACCCUCAAUUUUGGAACGAGAGGAGGACACUGAGGUAAGCCACAGUAAAACCUAUCAUUUAUCAUUGGACCAUAUGUUGCAGACACAGAAUCAUGCUGAUAUAGAGAUUUUGUGUAGUUAGUUACUCGGAAUCACCGGUUCAACUAUAAAUUUCUAGGCAUACCUCCUCAUGGUUACAAUAUCAAUUGAGUCAAGAAGUUAUGACCUGAAGUAAAGCUACCAUAAAGUUUGAUCCUGACAAAAAAAUAGAAUUAUGGUUAGGUUCUUCUCCUAUGAUGAUAUGUUUUUUUCAUUGCUCUUCCAAGCACAUUUUAUAUCACUUAUUGGUGAGUGCUUUUAUAGCGGUUGAUUUUAGUUUUGUCUUUCACAUCAUUGAAUAAUUCAAUGAACAUUUAGUUUAUGUUAUUUUUAUUGAUAUUUAAAUAUAUUUAAUUUUAUUUAAACUUUUUAAUAUUAUUUAAUUUAUUCUAUUGAUAUUUAGAGAACAUUCCUAAAAUUUUGGAAUGUCGUACUAGAAUUGAUACAACUAUAGCUUCCAAGAUAUAUUUAUAGUUAAUUAAAAACAUUAUAUUUGUCUUUGUUAUCAUAUAUAACAUUAAUAUUUAUGUGAAAUCAAAAGAAUGUAAUAAAUUGUUUUUAUGUCACAUUUUUUACAAAAAUUUAAAUAUAACAAGAAAAUAAAAUAUUGUUAGCAAACUGUCAAAAAUCUUUGUGACUUCAAUUCCUCUCAUAAAAAUUAAAACUCAAUUAAUAAAGGAAAGUUAUUUUUAUCACACCAUACAUGAUAAUAUAAUAUAUUUUCAAUAAAGUUGUUAUUUCAUAUUCCAAAUUGGAACAUUUAUGGUAUUAUAUAUUGGUCAAUAUGUUCAAAUUAAGAAUAUUUGACCAAUAGGAUCAAUAUAAAAAGAUGUUAUUUAAUGUUGUUGACUGACUUGAUUCAUCAAAUCUAUAAAUGUGCCAGAAUGAUAAACAACUGAAGACAAAAUUUUAAAGAUCUUUCAGCAUUUGAAUUCAUUAAAGAAAAGAAUGGCUUCCAUAAAUUAUGAAUUUUUUGAUAUUAUUGGUGAACUCAUUCUUAUGAAGGAAGAAUCAAAAGAAGACGAAGAGCAUGUGAGGGGUUUGCUUGAAACUUUAAUCAAAUGCCUAGAUGAAAACAAGAUUGUUUUGCCCAUCCAACUACUUGAAGGAAUCCUACAUUUAAAUAUAACAAAAUUACUUGACUAUCAAAUAAAGAUAUUAGAUGGUUGGAUUGAAAAGAAAAAUAAGCUUAUUGAAGCAAUGGAGGCUGUAAUCGAGGCUUCCUCUAUGGAGGAAUGCUCAUGUGAAAAGAAAAAUAAGCUUAUUGAAGCGAUGGAGGCUUGCUCGUUGGAGGAUUGAUCGUAUAGCUCAAUGGCAAAAGUCUUAACCAAUCAGAAACCCAAUAAUUAAUAUAUGAACAUCAUUCCCAUGUACCAUAAUAUAUGAUCAAAUUGUCCUUUGUUUCUUCAUCUAAAGCUUUUAUGGAAUAAUAAAUGAAAUGCAAUUAUGUUGUUUGUGAA